AUUGAACGCUGGCGGAAUGCUUUACACAUGCAAGUCGAACGGCAGCACGGGGGCAACCCUGGUGGCGAGUGGCGAACGGGUGAGUAAUACAUAGGAACAUACCCAGUAAUGGGGGAUAACGCAGCGAAAGCUGUGCUAAUACCGCAUACGCCCUGAGGGGGAAAGUGGGGGAUCGUAAGACCUCACGUUAUUCGAGCGGCCGACGUCUGAUUAGCUAGUUGGUGGGUAAAGGCCUACCAAGGCGACGAUCAGUAGCGGGUCUGAGAGGAUGAUCCGUCACACUGGAACUGAGACACGGUCCAGACUCCUACGGGAGGCAG
rnacentral:rRNA from 1 species